GGUAAAAUGGCUGAGGUAUAGGCAGUAAAUUGUAAAUUUAUAAACGAGGAUUCUCUUUUAUCA
rnacentral:tRNA from 1 species